rnacentral:rRNA from 1 species
UACGGAGGGGGCUAGCGUUGUUCGGAAUUACUGGGCGUAAAGCGCACGUAGGCGGCUUUGUAAGUUAGAGGUGAAAGCCCGGAGCUCAACUCCGGAAUUGCCUUUAAGACUGCAUCGCUUGAAUCAUGGAGAGGUGAGUGGAAUUCCGAGUGUAGAGGUGAAAUUCGUAGAUAUUCGGAAGAAACACCAGUGGCGAAGGCGGCAC